CAUCUCCUCUAGCAACAGGAGAUCCCCACUGUCUGCGAUCGCCACUAUUUUGGAUGCCAUCUCUCCAGAGAAACUGCUCAUAAAAAAGUCUAACUGACAAUUCUUGGUGCAAAGACUAAAAAG